rnacentral:misc_RNA from 1 species
GAUGAAGAACGCAGCGAAAUGCGAUAAGUAGUGUGAAUUGCAGAAUUCAGUGAAUCAUCGAGUCUUUGAACGCACAUUGCGCCCCCUGGCAUUCCGGGGGGCAUGCCUGUCCGAGCGUCAUUACUGCCCAUCAAGCGCGGCUUGUGUGUUGGGUCCUCGUCCCUCCCGGGGGACGGGCCCGAAAGGCAGCGGCGGUACCGUCCGGUCCUCGAGCGUAUGGGGCUUUGUCACCCGCUCGAUUAGGGCCCGGUCGGCGCCAGCCGUCAACCCCCAAUUUUUUUUUAUUCAGGUUGACCUCGGAUCAGGUAGGGAUACCCGCUGAACUUAAGCAUAUCAAUAAGCGGAGGA